ensembl:lncRNA
GUAGCAAUUCCACUCAGUUGGGUGAAGGUGGAGCCCAGGCGCCUUCCUGGGGCCUCUAUUGUACGAGAAACGUUCACAGCCUCUGUCUGUCAGUGCUUCUCAAAAUGUGGACCAGCAGCACCAGCGCGACCUGAGAACUUGUCAGAGAUGCAAGUUUGCGGGGCCUGCCUCCCAAACCUGGGGAAUCAGAAACUCCGCAGGUGGCGCCAGUUAUCUCUGUUUCAAGACGUUUCCUGGACAAGACCGGCUGCAUAAUUUUCAGGCUCCAGUGCCAAACGAAACACAGGGCACUUGGACAGAAAUUAUUAAGAAUUUCAGGAGGGCGGCAGCACAGCAUUGAACCAUACAUAGAGUCUUCUAAGCAUGGGGUCCUGUGCGGCUGCCCAGGAUGUGCACCCAAGUGAUGCUGGUGCACAUUAAAGUGUGAGAACCGCUGGUCUAGAUUCUUCUCCAGGUGACAGCUUGUGUUUCUGCUUCUUAGCAUGGGCCAAGGGUGCCCCUCAGGACUUGUAAGCCCCUGGCCCUGGGUUGAUGAUGAUAAUAGGACCCUUCACGGAUCAUUUAUGAUGGACCAGCACUGGCACUUUCCAUGCAUUCUUUUCAUUCAGGUCCCACAGUGACCCCAGGAGCCGGGUUCUGUUACCUUCAUUCCCAUUGUGCAGGUGGGAAACAGCGCACCAAGGCCAAGGGCCAUCGGUAGGUUGAAUAUUUUGAGUAUCACCUGCCUUCUCCUUCCUACCCCUUCCUCCCAUUGCAGUGACUGUCAGCCCUGAGACCAUCCUCACUCCUAACUCUCUGAGUGAGGACUUACUGGAACAGAAGGGCCUGAAAGAGCUCUAACCAGGGGCCAGGUGUUUUGCUCCGGCCGGUUAGAAGGGUUUAGAAUCACAGGUUUUCUACCUAUUAUUUUGCCAAAGAGGAACUGGAGGCCCGGGCUGGGGCCAGAACUAGCAAGUGAGAGUCAGGAUUUGAACCCAGGACCUUCUGAUGUCAAGUGCCUCCCACGGUUGCAGGUUGUAAGUGAGGUCCCACCCAGUCAUUUACAGGACAGAACACGUCCCCCCUCUUGUAGUUUUGAAAGGGAGAGGAGCAAUAAAAGGCCAAGGAAAGAAAUUGAAGUCUCCUGGGGGCCAGAAAAAGAGACCAGGCGACGGGGAACUACACUGGGGAAGAGAGGGAGCUCUAAAGUGAAAUGGACAGGACGUUGUCGGCUGGGUGCCCCUGGGCAAAUCACUUCACCUCUCUGAGCCUGAUUCCUUUCCUACAAUGUGGGUAUAAUAAUAUUCACCUUUAUUGGGUUGCUGUGAGACUGCAAUGAGAUUGAGGUUAAAAGAGCCACAUGCUUAAUAUGACUCCUGUCACACAAUGCGAAGGCCUGCAUCCAGCUAGACUCUAACAUGAGCCAUCCACGUGACCCUCGGCAAGCGUCUUUAACCCUUCCAAGCUUCGCUUCCUUCCUCCAAAAUGGAAAUCAUCCCUCCUACAGAUUUACGUUUGUGAUGUGUGUGUGUUUUAAGAAGUCUAAAGUAGGAUACCAAAGUGACGGAACUGGUCAUGGGAAUAUUAAAAGUUGGC